CCUACGGGGAGCUGCAGUGGGGGCUAUUGGACAAUGGGGGGAACCCUGAUCCAGCGACGCCGCGUGAGUGAAGAAGUAUUUCGGUAUGUACAGCUCUGUCAGCAGGGAAGAAAGAAAUGACGGUACCUGACCAAGAAGCCCCGGCUAACUACGUGCCAGCAGCCGCGGUAAUACGUAGGGGGCAAGCGUUAUCCGGAAUUACUGGGUGUAAAGGGAGAGUAGACGGUUAAGUAAGUCUGGAGUGAAAGGCCGGGGACCAACCCCGGGACUGCUCUGGAAACUAUUGAACUUGAGUGCAGGAGAGGUAAGCGGAAUGUCUAGUGUAGCGGUGAAAUGCGGAGAUAUUAGGAGGAACACCAGUGGCGAAGGCGGCUUACUGGACUGUAACUGACGUUGAGGCUCGAAAGCGUGGGGAGCAAACAGGAUUAGAUACCCUUGUAGUC
rnacentral:rRNA from 1 species